rnacentral:rRNA from 1 species
CGGCGGACGGGUGAGUAACACGUGGAUAACCUACCUAUAAGACUGGGAUAACUUCGGGAAACCGGAGCUAAUACCGGAUAAUAUAUUGAACCGCAUGGUUCAAUAGUGAAAGACGGUUUUGCUGUCACUUAUAGAUGGAUCCGCGCCGCAUUAGCUAGUUGGUAAGGUAACGGCUUACAAGGCAACGAUGCGUAGCCGACCUGAGAGGGUGAUCGGCCACACUGGAACUGAGACACGGUCCAGACUCCUACGGGAGGCAGCAGUC